AGACAGCCAUGUUGGAGGAACAAUCACGAUGAACCGAUGAAAAGGCGCCAACCUGUCCUCUCUAGUCUUUGAUCUAGUUCUCCUAACUCUACCAGUCAUCCUCCACACCAAACCUUAAGAAAUCUUCCUGCCUCACACAUGAUCAAUACCCACAUCACAUCAUAGCUUUACACACCGGCAGUCAACCUGCUACACGCCAGUGCAAAGAGAGGCAUUUCCACACUGUAUCUCGAGCAAGCAUCGGGCAGACAUGGUAUAAUGAGACGCGUGUUCCCAUUGGCUCCUGGACCUCGCUGGGCGUCACGUGAUCGCAUUUCAAGAAUGACGUCAUAUUUAGGUCGCAGUCAACUAUCAAAAUACCCAGGCGCCUAUCCUGGUGAGUCAUUGGGCGUUGUGACGUAUAUCGGAAGGACGAUGUCUGCCCCAUGCAGUAGCUGUGCACGCUGAUCAAUGAUUAAUACUGGAGUAGAAAAGAUGAGUGGAAAGUGCUACAUUCAACGACGGACACACAACGAGCUUAACACACGCACCUCCAUAGCCACGAACACACCCACACUCUAAACCGCCAGAUACACAGCGAGUCAACGGUUAUAUGGGUUUUGGGCAACGAAUGGGUUUUAAUGAACGUUAAAGAAAAGGAAUACGGACGGCCAUUAAAGAGACCCUCCUUUGAAACGUACCUAAUACGACAGAUAAGAUGAUCGUCGUCAUCGCGUUCUUAUCAUCGAUCAAAUCAACAACGACUUCUUUAAUGACUUCAUCAGUCUCACCAAACUGCCGAGGACUGUUUUACAAUUCAUCAAUGAAACUUGCAAAACUAAUUCAUCGAAGAACUUACGAAUCAUUCUACAUUUUUUUCAGCGCAAUUCAUCGAAUGCAACGUGAUGUUUGAACGAGCAAGAAUUGCUAUAACGCGUUAACUAUAU